rnacentral:rRNA from 1 species
GUGGAUUUUUAGCCCCUGGUGGGUAGCUUCCCGGAAACGAAAGUCUUCCGGUUCCGGGGGAAGUAUGGUUGCAAAGCUGAAACUUAAAGGAAUUGACGGAAGGGCACCACCAGGAGUGGAGCCUGCGGCUUAAUUUGACUCAACACGGGGAAACUCACCCGGCCCGGACACCGUAAGGAUUGACAGAUUGAUAGCUCUUUCAUGAUUCGGUGGUUGGUGGUGCAUGGCCGUUCUUAGUUCGUGGAUCGAUUUGUCUGGUUUAUUCCGAUAACGAGCGAGACUCUAGCCUACUAAAUAGUAACGAGAUUAUCAAUGUCUCAGUUGCUUCUUAGAGGGAUUUUCGGUGUUUAGCCGCACGAGAUUGAGCAAUAACAGGUCUGUGAUGCCCUUAGAUGUCCGGGGCUGCACGCGCGCUACACUGGCGAAAUCAGCGUGCUGUAUCCAUUCUCGAAAGGGAUUGGUAAACCCAUGAAAAUUUGCCGUGCUUGGGAUCGGAAAUUGCAAUUAUUUUCCGUGAACGAGGAAUUCCAAGUAAGUGCGAGUCAUCAACUCGCUCUGAUUACGUCCCUG